CCUCGAGGCACUCAGUGAAGAGCACCGGGGAGAAUCCGGCAGGAAAGGCCGGGGACGAGCAGUGACACGCCUCGCGGCGGACCGCAAGCCCGGUCCCAAGAUCCAACUACGAGCUUUUUAACCGCAACAACUUUGAUAUACGCUAUUGGAGCUGGAAUUACCGCGGCUGCUGGCACCAGACUUGCCCUCCAAUAGAUCCUCGUUAAAGGAUUUAAAGCGUACCCAUUCCAAUUACGGGGCCUCGAAAGAGUCCCGUAUUGUUAUUUUCGUCACUACCUCCCCGAGUCGGGAGUGGGUAAUUUGCUCGCCUGCUGCCUUCCUUGGAUGUGUUAGCCGUUUCUCAGGCUAACUCUCCGGAACCGAACCCUGAUUCCCCGUCACCCGUUGCCACCAUGGUAGGCACAGAACCUACCAUCGAUAGUUGAUAGGGCAGACAUUCGAAUGAUCUGUCGCCGGUCCGAAGACCGUGCGAUCGGCUGGGUUAUCCAGAGCUGUCUCCUAUACACAU